rnacentral:tRNA from 1 species
GGCGAAGUUAGCUUAAAUGGUUUGAGCGUUAGAUUGUGAAUCUAAAGGCCAUGGGUUCGAAUCCCAUCCUUCGCCU